GGAGAGAUGCCAGAGUGGUCGAAUGGGGCGGUCUCGAAAACCGUUGAACGCUAUGCGUUCCAAGGGUUCGAAUCCCUUUCUCUCCG
rnacentral:tRNA from 1 species